CGGGGUGAGUAAUGUCUGGGAGACUGGCCUGAUGGAGGGGGAUAACUACUGGAAACGGUAGCUAAUACCGCAUAACGUCGCAAGACCAAAGAGGGGGACCUUCGGGCCUCUUGCCAUCGGAUGUGCCCAGAUGGGAUUAGCUAGUAGGUGGGGUAACGGCUCACCUAGGCGACGAUCCCUAGCUGGUCUGAGAGGAUGACCAGCCACACUGGAACUGAGACACGGUCCAG
rnacentral:rRNA from 1 species